rnacentral:rRNA from 1 species
UACGUAGGGGGCGAGCGUUGUCCGAAGUUCCUGGGCGUAAAGCGCGCGUAGGCGGGUUGGCAAGUCUGCUGUGAAAGCCCGGGGCUUAACUCCGGAGGGUCGGUGGAUACUGCCAGUCUUGAAGGUGCUAGGGAGAGAUGGAAUUACAGGUGUAGCGGUGAAAUGCGUAGAUAUCUGUAGGAACACCAGUGGCGAAGGCGACACGCUGGGCCGUACCUGAUACUGAACCGCGACAGCAUGGGGAGCAAACAGG